GACGUAGGAGGCGAGCGUUGUCCGGAUUCAUUGGGCGUAAAGAGCGCGCAGGCGGCUUGGUAAGUCCGCUGUGAAAGUCGGGGGCUCAACCCUCGGAUGCCGGUGGAUACUGUCGAGCUCGAGUCCGGAAGAGGCGAGUGGAAUUCCUGGUGUAGCGGUGAAAUGCGCAGAUAUCAGGAGGAACACCAAUGGCGAAGGCAGCUCGCUGGGACGGUACUGACGCUGAGACGCGAAAGCGUGGGGAGCAAACAGG
rnacentral:rRNA from 1 species